rnacentral:lncRNA from 1 species
AUUCAAGGCAGUCUCCAAAUUCUAAUGACAGAGGUCUGAGCCCGUACAGAUCCAGUCCCCUGAACUAGGCUUAGCCAUAUCACCAUGUUGCGGGAAGCCUGUCAAGAAAGAUUGUAUCCACCACCAUUAUGACUCAGAAGAUUUUUUUUACCAUGUUCCUAUUUUUUUUUUACCUUUUGUGGAUCCAGAGAAACCCCUUGAAGAGAAUUUGGAACUCUGACUCUAGAACCCUAGGAAGAAUGCCAAUGGGACUGAGCAGUCCAUCCUGAUGUGUGGGAAGUUAAAUCUCCAAGAGAGACUACGCCAUUUAUAAAUGGUCUCGGAAAAGCACAAGAUGUUUGGUAUGAAAUAAUAAAUCAGUGGAAUUUCAGUGGAAAUCA